rnacentral:tRNA from 1 species
GCCGCAUUAGCUCAGUUGGUAGAGCACAUCAUUCGUAAUGAUGGGGUCCUCGGUUCAAUCCCGAGCUCCGGCU